rnacentral:rRNA from 1 species
AUGUGCUCCAAGCGGAUUAACAUCGCGCUCCUCUCCCGUUGGCUCUGGCGCAUCGCCCAGGGCCAUGGCGGCCUCUGGUUGGACAUUAUCCGGACUAAAUACCUUCGGGGUCAACCCCUUGCCUUCUGCCAGAGAUCGGGCGGCUCCCAGUUCUGGCAGUCCACUGUCCAGCUUCUCCCGGUGCUACGCAUUGGGACCUUCAUCUCCGUGGGCUCUGGCCUCUCGACUCUCUUCUGGUAUGAUCGUUGGGCUGGUGACUCCCCCUUCGCGGCCCGCUUCCCCGUCCUUUUCUCUAUUUCCGUUGACCCCAUGAUAUCGGUCAAUAGGGCCCUUCUUGAUCCGGGGAGCCUUGCCUUCCGUCGACCGUUUGGGCCGGCGGAAUCCGCCGCCUGGCGUGAGUUGCUUGACUGUGUCGCAUUGCACGAGCCACUGGUGGAUGACAGGCCGGACCGUACCCGGUGGCGGCUCGAGCCGUCGGGCUUGUUCACCACCAAGUCGCUAUAUUCGGCCAUCGCCCCUUCCUCCGCACCCCUCCCCUUAUCGAUGAUCUGGAUCGUUCGGGUGCCACUGAAGAUUCGCAUCUUCAUGUGGCAAUGGAUCCGUGGUAGGCUUCCGUCUGGUGUGGAGGUCCGCAAGCGCAAUGGCCCAGGCACCGGUAUCUGCCCGCUCUGUGGUGUCCCGGAGGACUCAAACCACAUCUUCUUCUCCUGCAUCUCCGCACAAUUCCUCUGGAGCUGCUUUCGCGAGGUGGUCGGAGGGAGUUGGUGCCACACCAACUUCCCGGACCUUUUUGCUGAACUCCAACUGUCCCCCGUAUCCUCUCGCCACAUUAGGUGGCUGGAAGUUGGGGUACUUGCUUGGACGUUGUGGACCGUUCGCAAUAAACUUGUGAUCCAGCGCGCUCCCCUUCGUCGCCCUACUGACGCUCUCUUCAAAUUCUCGGGUUUCUUGCAGCUUUGGCGGCCGCUUAGUCGCCCCUCGGACCAUGACGCCAUCUCCGCCUUCAUCGCCGACAUCCGAUCGAUGGCCGUCCGCCUCUCUCCGCCGCCGCCGCCGCCACCGCCGGAGCCCGAUUAG